AGAAACUAGAAGACUUCCUUAAAGGAGAAUGGACCAAGAUCUCCACUACAGUGAAUAUAGUGGAGGUUGUUCUGCCUCCAGAGCCCAAGACCAGAGAACAGUUGUUACAAUAUUCCUGUCAGCUCACACUGGACCCAAACACAGCACACACACUCCUCUCUCUGUCUGAAGGGAACAGAAAGGUGACCUUUACAGACCAAGUUCAACCAUAUCCUGGUCAUCCAGACAGAUUCACCAACCAGUACCAGGUUCUGUGUAGAGAGGGUCUGUCUGGACGCUGUUACUGGGAGGUGGAGUGGAGAGGUGGUGUUAUUACAGCAGUCUCAUAUAAAGACAUCAGCAGAACAGGGUCAGGUAAUGGAUUUGGAUACAAUAACAAGUCCUGGAGUUUACAGUGCUCUAGAGGUGGUUAUUAUUUCAGACACAAUAAUGUUAAGACUAAAGUAUC